rnacentral:rRNA from 1 species
GACGUAGGGCGCGAGCGUUUGUCCGGAUUUAUUGGGCGUAAAGAGCUCGUAGGCGGCUUGUCGCGUCGACUGUGAAAACCCGCGGCUCAACUGCGGGCCUGCAGCCGAUACGGGCAGGCUAGAGUUCGGUAGGGGAGACUGGAAUUCCUGGUGUAGCGGUGAAAUGCGCAGAUAUCAGGUGGAACACCGAUGGCGAAGGCGGCAUCCUGGACCAACACUGACGCUGAGGAGCGAAAGCCAGGGGAGCAAACGGGG